CGCGGCCUAUCAGCUUGUUGGUGAGGUAACGGCUCACCAAGGCAUCGACGGGUAGCUGGUCUGAGAGGACGAUCAGCCACACUGGGACUGAGACACGGCCCAGACUCCUACGGGAGGCAGCAGUAGGGAAUCUUGCGCAAUGGGGGAAACCCUGACGCAGCAACGCCGCGUGUGGGAUGACGGCUUUCGGGUUGUAAACCACUUUCAGUGAUGACGAAAAUGACGGUAAUCACAGAAGAAGGUCCGGCCAACUACGUGCCAGCAGCCGCGGUAACACGUAGGGACCGAGCGUUGUCCGGAUUUAUUGGGCGUAAAGAGCUCGUAGGCGGUUUUGUAAGUCGGAUGUGAAAACUCAGGGCUCAACCCGGAGACGCCAUCCGAUACUGCAAUGACUAGAGUCCGGUAGAGGAAGAUGGAAUUCCUGGUGUAGCGGUGGAAUGCGCAGAUAUCAGGAGGAACACCAAUGGCGAAGGCAGUCUUCUGGGCCGGUACUGACGCUGAGGAGCGAAAGCAUGGGGAGCAAACAGGAUUAGAUACCCUGGUAGUCCAUGCCGUAAACGUUGGGCACUAGGUGUGGGGUCUUCUAACGGAUUCCGUGCCGUAGCUAACGCAUUAAGUGCCCCGCCUGGGGAGUACGG
rnacentral:rRNA from 1 species